rnacentral:rRNA from 1 species
CCAAGGAGUCUAACAUGUGCGCGAGUCACUCGGUCUUGAAUAGGCCAGAGAGGCGCAAUGAAAGUAAAGUUGAUUGAGUUACGAUCCUCAUGCCGGUUAUCCUUAGCGGUAACGGUGAGGCGCAGUAACAGCCCGCCAAUUUCGCUUAUUGACGAUCUGGCGGAGUUGUAGCGUACACGUUGGUACCCGAAAGAUGGUGAACUAUGCCUGGGCAAGACGAAGCCAGAGGAAACUCUGGUGGAGGUCUGUAGCGAUUCUGACGUGCAAAUCGAUCGUCAGACCUGGGUAUAGGGGCGAAAGACUAAUCGAACCAUC